CAAUUUUGAGAAAGGCUUUGUUGUGGGAUGAUUUUUUUUAUAAAAACCUCAUUUGUUAAAUUUUGGCUUCGAGUGCGUAGGCAGACUGUGGAGCUCUUAUUUUUGGGUAAUGUUUCUUAUGUAAUUUUUUUGUAUUAUUAUUAUGUUAAAUAUUGUAUUUAGUUUGUUAGUUAAAGUUGAUAUUUUGGUAUAUUUGUUGGUAAUUAGUAUUUUCCAUUGUCGUUAUUUUUGUAGUUUUAAUUAUUGCUUUGUAUUUAGAUUAUUAAUUAAUAGUUUUGGAUUAAUAUUAUUGGCUUUAAUUAUUAUUUUGUAUUAAGAUUAUUAUUUUGGUGUAAUUGUAAUAUUUGUUUGAAAAAGGAUUAUAUAUGGAAAGAAUAUUUUGUAAAUAUACUUAUAGUUAUAAUAAUAAUAAGAAAGCUGUUAAAUAAUAGAAUUACAGUAAAACCUCUAUUUAAGAAUAAACUUGAGACUUUGUAUUCUAAUUGAGAGGUUAUUACUAAAUAGAGGUAUUAGUACAAAAUAUUUUCUGAACACCCAAAAAUAUUCACUUUAACAAAAAUAUAGAUUUUAUAGACUUUAUAACAAAAAUUUUAAAAAAAACAUAAAUUAUUUAGAUUUUCAAACUAGGAAAAUGUAGUCUUUUAUAGGAAAAUGUAGUCUUUUAUAGGAAAUGUAGUUUUUUAUAGGAAAAUAUAGUUCUUUAUAGGAAAUGUAGUCUUUUAUAAAAAAUGUAAUCUUUUAAAAUUAAUAUUGUCUCUCUCUCUCAUAUAUAUAUAUAUGAAAUUAUUACUAUAUAGAGGUAUAGUUUCUUAAUACGGGACUUAAAAAGUAUAUAACAUAUUAUAAUUUAGAGGUUAUUCCUAUUUAUAACUGGCCCAAAUUGGGACCAAUUUUUUUUAUAAUAUUGUAGAUGUUAUUCUUGUAUAGAGUAUUUACUGAAUAUCCUUAUGACAUUUAAUUGUUCUAAAUUUAUAUUUAGGAAUUGUUCGACAAUUAAAUUUGUGUUCAAUGAUAUCGAGGUAAGUGACUUUCUAAGCCAUUUAGUAUUUUGAAAUUUUUGUUUAUAAUUAUGUAUGCUUUAGUAAUUAUUCGGAUGCCUAAAUGUAUUGUUUAAAAAUUUGUUAUACUUUAUUUAAGGCUUCCAUUUGAAUAAAAAUGUUACUCUAUUUUGUUUAAAAAUUCGGAUCAAGUAUCAAAAUAGAAUUUUGAUUUAGAUAAUGAUAUUAUGUGAUUUGGAACUGUGAAAUAAGUAUAAUUUUGAACAUCGAAAAUAUUUUUAGAAACCUCAGUCCGACUAUGUACAGAAACGUUAGUGUUUACGCUAGUUCCGGAACAAUUUAGGACCUACUAAGGCGCACACCUUUAGAUACCCUUCGGGGGGAGCUUUUCGGGGCACGUGCAUGAUAAGAUACCUUAGUAGGGGGCGUGUCAUUGACAUUAUCGAACCAUUGGACCCUGUAACGUCAUCAGGGUUGUGGAUUAAAAGAUACAUUGAAUAUAUUGAAAUCGUUUAUUGUAACAUAUUGAAAUCGUUUUCGAAUUAUGUUUUGUGAUUAUUGAUUUUGUUUUUGAAAGUAUAUAUUGAUUUUUGUUAUCGAACAAGAAAAGAUUAUUUUCGAAAAGUAUGUUUAUUAUUGUUAUUGAAUUCAAAAAGUUAUUUUGAAAAAGUGUUUUGCAAAUUAUACUUGAUCCACCUAAAUAGUAAAGAUUGUCAUUUCUUGGGCUUCAUCGCUCACCCUUACAUAAUUUCUAUAGAAAACUUGUUAAGAGUCGAGUAUUGUGGCACUUUUGUGGAAGACCGAAAGAUAGUUUUGUUUAAGAGUUUAGGAAUAUUUUAGAGUUAUGAUAAGACUUUCUUUUUUUAAUGGAGUUGUGUCUCCAAAGUUAUGUUUUCAGUAUUUAGUAAUUGAAUCUUAGUGUAAAUUUGUUAAUAAAAGACUGUUUGGUUUCAAGUUAGUUUUAUUAUUAUGUUUUCGUUUGGGCUGCGCUAUUGAUAUUGUUGCCUUUUGCGGGUCCUUUGGGUUUGCGGCGUGUGGCACUCCGGACAUGUAGUGAGUUUGGGGUGUUACAUGGAUGCUUAUGUUGUUGUUUCUUAUAUUUGCCAGUAGCUUGAUAACCAUGUUUCAGUUCAUGGCAUACACAGUCUUAUACUGCAAGUGCAAAAAGUACCACGGAGAAGAGGUUGAAUUACAAGGCGGCAGCAGCAGCAUUAAAUAUAGUAAAAUUCCCAUUACUGCUCUGCAUAAUGAAUAUAUACCUUAAAAUUUAAAUACAAUCUUUACUAGUAUAUUGAUGAUAUUUACUACGUACUGUAAAAUUUAAGUAGUUUGUAUCGAUCUCUAUUUGUAAUCUAUAUAUGUACACUUUUGUCCCUAUAUUGAUUAGAGCAAUAAUUUCUUCAUAAUCAAGAUUUGUUAUUGACUUUGGUCUGUCACGAAACAAUCUAAUGGCAAAUAGCAAUUUUUAAUAAAAAUUGAUAUUUUUACAG
rnacentral:lncRNA from 1 species